GUCCCAUUGUAAGUAAGGGGUGAAAUUGAGUUUAGAACUGUCAAUUUUAGAAAUAUACGAUCAAAGACUGAGACAAAUUCUUUGAACUGACAGCAAAUUUAAGUUAUGGUAGUCAUUUUAGAUAAGCCAAAUGAUGUAAAAAUCCUCAUCAGGAAAAGUUAACUCUUUCCUGGAUAGGAAGGUUUAGUAAGGCGAGACUGCCCGCUAU